rnacentral:rRNA from 1 species
UACGAGGGGGGCAAGCGUUGUUCGGAAUUAUUGGGCGUAAAGGGCGCGUAGGCGGUGCGGUAAGUCUGUUGUGAAAUCUCCGGGCUCAACUCGGAGUCUGCAUCAGAAACUGCCGUGCUCGAGUGGGGAAGAGGGUCGUGGAAUUCCCAGUGUAGAGGUGAAAUUCGUAGAUAUUGGGAAGAACACCGGUGGCGAAGGCGGCGACCUGGUCCUUGACUGACGCUGAGGCGCGAAAGCGUGGGGAGCAAACAGG